UCUCCCCAUGAGUGCACGUUUCAUCACAAUCAAUUCCAAGAAAAUCCAAAGAGUUAGAAAUUAGAGAAUGAGAGAUGGUAGGCGUUGUGUUUGAGAGAGUUGGAUGGAGGGAGAAGAGAUGACGACGGAGUGGUCUACGGGCUCAGCGACGACGGGGUGCAUAUGGAGCCAAAGGCGGCGCGGCGCCGGCUCUGUGCUGGCAGCAUCGACGACGGCUGCACGGCGGCACGAUCUGGCAACGGCAGCAGCGAAACUUGCUUACGAACAGAGGCGGCGAUCGGUUCAGACGGAGAGGUGACGGCGCUGCAAUUCGGAGCGCGAUACAACGGAUGACGAAGACGCAGAGAGUUUGAAUGAGAGGGCUGGGGCGGCCGAGUUCCGGCAAGGACGACGGUGGCAGCAGCCCGUUUGAAGGAGCUGCUCGACGGCGAGCUCACCUUCGCUGGACUGUAGUGACAACGGAGUUCGCGAACUGGAGACAUCAGCGGCAAUGAUCGACGGAGGAGAAAAUUUCCGGAUCCAAUGGCGACGGGCGGCAGCGAAGUUGCUCUCCGCUAGGAGGAAGAGAGAGGAAGACAGAGCGAAAUCGUUUUGAGAUAGAGGACCGAACAGCGAGGGCUGACAACGACGGACUCCCACGGUGAGCGAGUGCAGCAGGGCCGGUGGUGGGAGUGAAAGCGCAGGCAGCAGCGCUGCCACGUAGCAGACGGACGGCUCUGCAGAGCCGGGGUAGGUCUCCAAGAAUGAAUCGUGGAGGAGGAAGAAGAAAGAGGAGAGAGAAGAAACCGAUUGUUGAGAAGGAAGAAAGAAUUAGGCGCCGGUGUUCUUUGAUUGUGUGAACAAAUUUUGAAACUGAGAGAGAAACACGAUGGGAAGAUUACAAAUUAAAAAGAAAUGGGCUAAGUGGAACACUCUAGGUGACGAAGGCUUUUCACGCACGCUUUCGAGGACGGAAAUGAUUUCAAAUUCAGAAAAUUAAGCGAUUGAGGUUGAGCUGUGACGAGCGCGGUGG